rnacentral:lncRNA from 1 species
UUGUAUUUAUUAAAAUUCAACUAAUAAAUAUAUUGAAAUCUUAUGUAUAUGAUAUACCUCUGAAUGCUGCUUAUGAGAUAACAUUCUAAUUGUCUUGUAACUUAAAACACAAGAUAGCUUCAUAAAUUCAACAAAACAAAAGAAUAUUCUAAAUGGGAGUUUCAUAAGUUUCUACAUUGAUUUAAGUUAAGAUCUGAAUCAGUUUUAUGUUAGUUUUACCCAACCAACUUUGAAUAAUUAAAACUCAAGUCAUCUUAAAGAUAAGAAAAUUAAACUUGUGUGUUCAUUUUUCUUUAAUUGGUUAGUUCUUUUAACUUGAUUAGCAGCAGUUGAAAAUUGAAAUAGAAAGAAAAAUCAUUCAAGUUAAACUUUAGUAAAUCAAUGUUUUUAAAAGUCACAAAUAGCAACACAAGCUGUUUCAACGGUGUGAGUAAGUAUCUAGCUAAACGUCAAAUUAAAAGGAUCAGUUCAGUUGCAAGAACAUUAGUAAACACUCCUGAAAAUUUGAAUCUAAUUUUUACAAAGAUAAAACCCAUUACUCUAAAACAACAUUAUUGAAACUUGUUUAAAAGUAAAUCACAACCUACCAAAGCAUCUGUCAAAAUUUCAUAGACAUCCAACAAAUUGUUCCUGAGUUAGAUCAUAUGGUAACAAGUGGUUAAACCAUAGAACAUUUGAUGUUGAUAGGUAAAUAAAAACACCUGAAUUAUAUCAAAAUUUGUCUAUACUAUACACUGAAUCAUUUGACAUUGUUGGGUUUCUGAUGACUGCUUCAACUAUGAAAAUGUGUAAAAAAUGUUGUCAAAAAUCCAUUAUGUGCAUCUAACAACAGUAACUGGUAAAAUAUAUCUUGUUUUUAUGAAAUCUAAAUAUGACACACAAUAUAUCUAUGAAAGCUGUAUAUAUGAUAACAAACAAAAACAAACAAUUUAACCAAAAUAAUAAUACUGAAAAU